rnacentral:rRNA from 1 species
GACGAACGCUGGCGGCGUGCUUAACACAUGCAAGUCGAACGGAAAGGCCCUGCUUUUGUGGGGUGCUCGAGUGGCGAACGGGUGAGUAACACGUGAGUAACCUGCCCUUGACUUUGGGAUAACUUCAGGAAACUGGGGCUAAUACCGGAUAGGAGCUCCUGCUGCAUGGUGGGGGUUGGAAAGUUUCGGCGGGUGGGGAUGGACUCGCGGCUUAUCAGCUUGUUGGCGGGGUAGUGGCUUACCAAGGCUUUGACGGGUAGCCGGCCUGAGAGAGUGACCGGCCACAUUGGGACUGAGAUACGGCCCAGGCUCCUACGGGAGGCAGCAGUGGGGAAUAUUGCACAAUGGGCGGAAGCCUGAUGCAGCAACGCCGCGUGCGGGAUGACGGCCUUCGGGUUGUAAACCGCUUUCGCCUGUGACGAAGCGUGAGUGACGGUAAUGGGUAAAGAAGCACCGGCUAACUACGUG